rnacentral:rRNA from 1 species
UACAGAGGGUGCAAGCGUUAUCCGGAAUUACUGGGCGUAAAGCGUGCGUAGACGGUUAUUUAAGUCAGGUGUGAAAGCCCCGGGCUCAACCUGGGAAUUGCAUUUGAGACUGAAUAGCUAGGGUGCGGAAGAGGGAAGCGGAAUUUCCGGUGUAGCGGUGAAAUGCGUAGAUAUCGGAAGGAACACCAGUGGCGAAAGCGGCUUCCUGGUCCAGCACCGACGUUCAGGCACGAAAGCGUGGGGAGCAAACAGG